GGUUGUAUAGUGUAGUUGGUUAUCACAUGGGAUUCUGAGGCAUUCCUGGAGCUUCCCAUGACCUCGGUUCGAGUCCGAGUACGACCU